UACGGGAGGCAGCAGUGGGGAAUAUUGCACAAUGGACGCAAGCCUGAUGCAGCCAUGCCGCGUGUAUGAAGAAGGCCUUCGGGUUGUAAAGUACUUUCAGUCGUGAGGAAGGUGUUAAGGUUAAUAACCUUAGCAAUUGACGUUAGCGACAGAAGAAGCACCGGCUAACUCCGUGCCAGCAGCCGCGGUAAUACGGAGGGUGCGAGCGUUAAUCGGAAUUACUGGGCGUAAAGGGCACGCAGGCGGUUAAUUAAGUUGGAUGUGAAAUCCCCGGGCUUAACCUGGGAAUGGCAUUCAAGCUGGUUAGCUAGAGUCUUGUAGAGGGGGGUAGAAUUCCAUGUGUAGCGGUGAAAUGCGUAGAGAUGUGGAGGAAUACCGGUGGCGAAGGCGGCCCCUGGGACAAAGACUGACGCUCAUGUGCGAAAGCGUGGGGAGCAAACAGGGAUUAGAUACC
rnacentral:rRNA from 1 species